GAUGAGUACAUGAAUUUGGUUCUAGAUGAUGCCGAGGAAGUCAAUGUGAAGAAGAAUAGCAGAAAGCAGUUAGGGCGGAUUCUUCUGAAAGGAGAUAAUAUCACAUUGAUGAUGAACACGGGGAAAUGAUUUCCUGUUAGCUGGAUCUUGAGAAGAAGUUCAAUUUUCUGGCAAAAAUCAACUAUUGGAAUGUCGUCUUUGUGGACAAGAAGCUGGAUGUUAGAUGCACAUGAUUGAGUUUGAACUUCCAUUUAUGUUUUGAUAUAUGUAUAUUCAGCAUGGUAUGCUCAGAUCUCUUUAUACAGUGAAGAAGAGUAGCCUUAUGACCAUUUCUCUCUAUGUUGGUAGUAAC
rnacentral:misc_RNA from 1 species